rnacentral:rRNA from 1 species
AUUGAACGCUGGCGGCAUGCUUUACGCAUGCAAGUCGAACGGCAGCGGGGAGGAGCUUGCUUCUCUGCCGGCGAGUGGCGAACGGGUGAGUAAUACAUCGGAACGUGUCGAGAAGAGGGGGAUAACCACCCGAAAGGGUGGCUAAUACCGCAUAAAUUCUGAGGAAGAAAGCUGGGGACCUAGGAAUAGGCCUAGCGCUUUUUGAGCGGCCGAUGUCGGAUUAGCUAGUUGGUGAGGUAAAGGCUCACCAAGGCGAAGAUCUGUAGCGGGUCUGAGAGGAUGAUCCGCCACACUGGGACUGAGACACGGCCCAGACUCCUACGGGAGGCAGCAGUGGGGAAUUUUGGACAAAGGGGGCAACCCUGAUCCAGCCAUGCCGCGUGUAUGAAGAAGGCCUUAGGGUUGUAAAGUACUUUUGUUAGGGAAGAAAAGUCAGCUGUGAAUAAUGGCUGAUACUGACGGUACCUAAAGAAUAAGCACCGGCUAACUACGUG